AUUGAACGCUGGCGGCAGGCCUAACACAUGCAAGUCGAACGAGUGGCGGACGGGUGAGUAAUGUCUGGGAAACUGCCUGAUGGAGGGGGAUAACUACUGGAAACGGUAGCUAAUACCGCAUACCAUCGGAUGUGCCCAGAUGGGAUUAGCUAGUAGGUGGGGUAACGGCUCACCUAGGCGACGACCCCUAGCUGGUCUGAGAGGAUGACCAGCUACACUGGAACUGAGACAGGGUCCAGACUCCUACGGGAGGCAGCAGUGGGGAAUAUUGGACAAUGGGGGCAAGCCUGAUGCAGCCAUGCGGCGUGUAUGAAGAAGGUCUGCGGGUUGUAAAGUACGUUCAGCGGGGAGGCGUUACCCGCAGAAGAAGCACCGGCUAACUCCGUGCCAGCAGCCGCGGUAAUUC
rnacentral:rRNA from 1 species